GACGAACGCUGGCGGCGUGCUUAACACAUGCAAGUCGAACGGAAAGGCCCUGCUUUUGUGGGGUGCUCGAGUGGCGAACGGGUGAGUAACACGUGAGUAACCUGCCCUUGACUUUGGGAUAACUUCAGGAAACUGGGGCUAAUACCGGAUAGGAGCUCCUGCUGCAUGGUGGGGGUUGGAAAGUUUCGGCGGUUGGGGAUGGACUCGCGGCUUAUCAGCUUGUUGGUGGGGUAGUGGCUUACCAAGGCUUUGACGGGUAGCCGGCCUGAGAGGGUGACCGGCCACAUUGGGACUGAGAUACGGCCCAGACUCCUACGGGAGGCAGCAGUGGGGAAUAUUGCACAAUGGGCGGAAGCCUGAUGCAGCAACGCCGCGUGCGGGAUGACGGCCUUGGGGUUGUAAACCGCUUUCGCCUGUGACGAAGCGUGAGUGACGGUAAUGGGUAAAGAAGCACCGGCUAACUAC
rnacentral:rRNA from 1 species